rnacentral:rRNA from 1 species
GAUGAACGCUGGCGGCGUGCCUAAUACAUGCAAGUCGAGCGAACAGACGAGGAGCUUGCUCCUCUGACGUUAGCGGCGGACGGGUGAGUAACACGUGGAUAACCUACCUAUAAGACUGGGAUAACUUCGGGAAACCGGAGCUAAUACCGGAUAAUAUAUUGAACCGCAUGGUUCAAUAGUGAAAGACGGUUUUGCUGUCACUUAUAGAUGGAUCCGCGCCGCAUUAGCUAGUUGGUAAGGUAACGGCUUACCAAGGCGACGAUGCGUAGCCGACCUGAGAGGGUGAUCGGCCACACUGGAACUGAGACACGGUCCAGACUCCGACGGGAGGCAGCAGUAGGGAAUCUUCCGCAAUGGGCGAAAGCCUGACGGAGCAACGCCGCGUGAGUGAUGAAGGUCUUCGGAUCGUAAAACGCUGUUAUUAGGGAAGAACAAAUGUGUAAGUAACUAUGCACGUCUUGACGGUACCUAAGCAGAAAGCCACGGCUAACUACGU